rnacentral:rRNA from 1 species
CCUACGGGAGGCAGCAGUGGGGGAUAUUGCACAAUGGGGGAAACCCUGAUGCAGCGACGCCGCGUGGGUGAAGAAGUAUUUCGGUAUGUAAAGCCCUAUCAGCAGGGAAGAAAGAAGACGGUACCUGACUAAGAAGCCCCGGCUAACUACGUGCCAGCAGCCGCGGUAAUACGUAGGGGGCGAGCGUUAUCCGGAUUCACUGGGUGUAAAGGGAGCGUAGACGGCCGUGCAAGCCAGGAGUGAAAGCCCGGGGCCCAACCCCGGGACUGCUCUUGGAACUGUGCGGCUGGAGUGCGGGAGGGGCAGGCGGAAUUCCUGGUGUAGCGGUGAAAUGCGUAGAUAUUAGGAGGAACACCGGCGGCGAAGGCGGCCUGCUGGACCGCGACUGACGUUGAGGCUCGAAAGCGUGGGGAGCGAACAGGAUUAGAUACCCCAGUAGUC